rfam:Heligmosomoides polygyrus genome assembly, scaffold: HPBE_scaffold0010307
GCGCCGGUGGUGUAAGGCGAACAUCGCUGCCCGAAAAGCAAAAGAUGCGGGUUCGAGUCCCGCCUGGCGCA